rnacentral:siRNA from 1 species
UGGUUAUCGAUCAAAGAUUGUGCG